AUGCACGCUCUUCAAUCUGGGAAGUGGAAUGAUUUGUAUAUUGUUUCCAUGAACAUGAAACUUGUCGAGGUUUACCAUGGGCACAUCUUGUGGAUAAUGCUGUAUACCUUUGCUCGCAACAUAGCUCUCUCUACGUGCGAUGUUGUGUCUUGCAUGUACAAAUGCGGUGCUUGCUCGUGUCUGUCGUUGGUUCUGUAUGUCUAUUCUGCAGUAUCAUGUCGCAACAUGAUUCCUAAGGGUGGUUGCACUGAAAAGGUACCACGUGUAGCUGGGGAGUUGUAUGCUGUAUAUACUAACCACUUGCAAUGCGUGCUCUGCGUGUUUGAACUUUGA
rnacentral:rRNA from 1 species